GAUGAAGAACGUAGCGAAAUGCGAUAAGUAAUGCGAAUUGCAGAAUUCAGUGAAUCAUCGAAUCUUUGAACGCACAUUGCGCCCGCCAGUAUUCUGGCGGGCAUGCCUGUCUGAGCGUCGUUUCGACCCUCGCGCCCGGCUUCUGUCGGGGGCGGUGUUGGGGAUCGGCCACACCCUUCAGUGGGAGGCCGGCCCCCAAAUUCAGUGGCGACCACGCUGUAGCCUCCCCUGCGUAGUACUAAAACCACCUCGCAGGCGGAGAGCGGUGCGGCCCGCCGUAAAACCCCCCAACUUUUACAAGGUCGACCUCAGAUCAGGUAGGAAUACCCGCUGAACUUAAGCAUAUCAAUAAGCGGAGGA
rnacentral:misc_RNA from 1 species